CGGGGGCGGGGCCGCGACGUGGGGGCGGGGAACAGGAAAGUGAUGGGGCGUGGCCUCGAUAGUGGGACGGGACUAUAGCGUAAGGGCGCGGCGAAGGCGGGGGCACGUCUGCCAAGGUGGGGCGAAAUCAGAACGUUGUUUGCGGACUUGCGCGUGCGCGUGCGCGCGGUGACGGCUUAAUUCCAGAGGGUAGUCUGGCGGAAGUGCCACUGGGAGGAACCCUAGGUUUGCAGCCAUCAAAGAGUUCAGCACUGGCCACCGAGCGUUCAGCCUACGCCAAUCCGUGAAUGUUCACCCGCCUUCCGCUCUUUAGCAGCCAGGUGGCAGCAGGGUAACCGGAGGCAGUCUUCCUCCUAUUGGGCUCUGGACCGAAGGCCUUUCACUCAUCGCUGUGCACAGCAGGACAAGAGACAGAUUUCCCAGGGAUUGCAGUGUCGGUGGGCAGGAUCAGGCUCAUCAGGAGCCAAACCCCUGGAAUGUCCUGCAGUUAUCACAUGGAAGCCACAGACCUCUCCGGCAACCACCAUCUUCCUACCAGUAUCAGUGUAACACAUGUGAGUGACAUAGCAGCAAAGAAGAAGAACUUGGGGCAGAGCUGACCCAUGGCAACAUUCAUCAGUGUGGCAGCCCUGUCCUGUGCCUGCCACAUCACCCCCCCCCGCUUUUGGCCUGGGGACUGGUAAGAAAGUGUAGACACCUUCCUGAGAGAUACUUUGGGACCUUGGAAUCAAGUGGAAGUGUAGUGCUCUUGGACCAAACUUUGAUCUCUCUCAGAUGGGACCUGUUUUGGCCCUGGGUCUACAUCUGGUGUACCCCUCGAUAGGUCUUGCCUCCUCUUGGCUUUAUUCUUGUGUACCACGUGUGUCAUGCUGUAUUACUCUUGCUAUUUGGAGUUCUCUCAACCCCAUUACCACUGAAGCUGUCUCAAUGCCAACCUAAGGGUUUGGAGGCAGGAACAAGGCUUUGCCUCAACUGUGACAGCCAGGGUGAAUGCUUCAUAAAUAAUGGCUGACAUGACUGCCACUAUACCCAAUGGGUGGCCCUGAUGGCUCUUGUCAUCAGGAUAGAUCUCAGCUAGGUAUCUGUUCUCUCUUUCUGGAGUAAGGAAGACCACCCACAGAGGGCCAGACAGUGAGCCACGCAGCCUUGCUGGUAUGGAUUUUUAAGAUCAGAUGCUGUGGUUACUGCAUUCUCCCUCUGGGUUAGGGUCUAGGGUUACUAUCUGUUUUGGGCACUAGUUAGCUGAUGCAUGUAUGUCCCCUAGAGGAACCAGUCACCUCCAUGUCCCCUACACCCAACAUGCUUAUCAUAGCACCCUUGUCCCUGCUAACCCCCAGAGUUAUGAGCCAGUGUAUCUCAGGGGUGGAACACUUGCCUAGUGUGCAUGGGACCUUGGUUCUAUCCCCAGUAUUCAAACAAACAAAUAAAUAUAAAAGCCAGAUCCCCAAAGGCUAACAAGAAA